UGGGGAAUAUUGGACAAUGGGCGCAAGCCUGAUCCAGCCAUGCCGCGUGAGUGAAGAAGGCCUUCGGGUUGUAAAGCUCUUUUGUCAGGGAAGAAACGGGACCAGCUAAUAUCUGGUCCUAAUGACGGUACCUGAAGACUAAGCACCGGCUACCUACGUGCCAGCAGCCGCGGUAAUACGUAGGGUGCAAGCGUUAAUCGGAAUUACUGGGCGUAAAGCGUGCGCAGGCGGUUUUGUAAGUCUGACGUGAAAUCCCCGGGCUCAACCUGGGAAUUGCGUUGGAGACUGCAAGGCUAGAAUCUGGCAGAGGGGGGUAGAAUUCCACGUGUAGCAGUGAAAUGCGUAGAGAUGUGGAGGAACACCGAUGGCGAAGGCAGCCCCCUGGGUCAAGAUUGACGCUCAUGCACGAAAGCGUGGGGAGCAAA
rnacentral:rRNA from 1 species